rnacentral:rRNA from 1 species
UACAGAGGUCUCAAGCGUUGUUCGGAUUCAUUGGGCGUAAAGCGUGCGCAGGCGGGCUUUUAAGCCAGACGUGAAAUCCCCGGGCUUAACCUGGGAAUGGCGUUUGGGACUGGAAGUCUGGAGUGCGGCAGAGGAGACUGGAAUUCCUGGUGUAGCAGUGAAAUGCGUAGAUAUCAGGAGGAACACCGAUGGCGAAGGCAGGUCUCUGGGCUGACACUGACGCUCAUGCACGAAAGCGUGGGGAGCAAACAGG